GUCGAACGGACUCAUAUUGAAACCUAGUGAUUUAUGAGUUAGUGGCGGACGGGUGAGUAACGCGUGGAUAACCUGCCGUAUACCGGGGGAUAACACUUAGAAAUAGGUGCUAAUACCGCAUAAGCGCACGGCUCCGCAUGGGGCAGUGUGAAAAACUCCGGUGGUAUACGAUGGAUCCGCGUCUGAUUAGCUAGUUGGCGGGGUAACGGCCCACCAAGGCAGCGAUCAGUAGCCGGCCUGAGAGGGUGGACGGCCACAUUGGGACUGAGACACGGCCCAAACUCCUACGGGAGGCAGCAGUGGGGAAUAUUGCACAAUGGGGGAAACCCUGAUGCAGCGACGCCGCGUGAGUGAAGAAGUAUCUCGGUACGUAAAGCUCUAUCAGCAGGGAAGAAAAUGACGGUACCUGACUAAGAAGCCCCGGCUAACUACGUGCCAGCAGCCGCGGUAAUACGUAGGGGGCAAGCGUUAUCCGGAUUUACUGGGUGUAAAGGGAGCGUAGACGGCAGCACAAGUCUGGAGUGAAAUCCCGGGGCUUAACCCCGGAACUGCUUUGGAAACUGUGCGGCUGGAGUGCAGGAGGGGUAAGCGGAAUUCCUAGUGUAGCGGUGAAAUGCGUAGAUAUUAGGAGGAACACCGGUGGCGAAGGCGGCUUACUGGACUGU
rnacentral:rRNA from 1 species